AAAAAAAAAAGGGGAAAAUUUUUUUGAGAGAAAAAAUUUUUACCACCCUUUGGUUUUUGCGAACUCCCCCAAAUGUGGGAAUCUCGACUGCAUAAUUUGUGGUAGUGGGGGACUGCGUUCGCGCUGACCCCUG
rnacentral:snRNA from 1 species